GCCGGGCGCAGUGGAGCACACCUGUAAUCCUAGCAGCUCGGGAGGCAGAGGCAAGAGGAUUGCAAGUUCAAAGUCAGCCUCAGCGAUAGGGAAGCACCAAGCAACUCAGUGAGACCUUGUCUCUA
rnacentral:sRNA from 1 species